rnacentral:rRNA from 1 species
UAGUGCAUCCAACCCCGCGUUGAACAACUAUCGAAAAUCUGCUUUUGCCUUUUUUCUUUACGCUAAAACGUCUUUCCCGGUUGGAAUUAUUGCUCGAGAUGCCCUAAAAGACUGAUCGUAAGCACUGUAGGAUGCGUGAAAUGUGUGAAAUGUCCCUCUCGUAGUGUCCUUUCCACUUCGCUCAAACGUGUUUCCCGGUUGGAAUUUUUGCUCGAAAUAAUAAUUUCUUUACCCUGUAGUCGUUUGUUUUCAAGCUCUAAUAUCUGCUCGAAUAUAAUACCUGCUUCAAUAUUUGCUCGAAAAUUGUUCAAAGCUCUGAGGGGUCUGAAUGAAUUCAUAAAAUUGGCAAAAGCCACCUAUAAACUACGGUUUUUAGGGGGUGAUCAAACCAAGGUUUUAAAAACCAAAUACGUUAAAACUUUCAACAACGGAUCUCUUGGUUCUGGCAUCGAUGAAGAACGCAGCGAAAUGCGAUAAGUAAUGUGAAUUGCAGAAUUCAGUGAAUCAUCGAAUCUUUGAACGCACAUUGCGCCCAUUAGUAUUCUAGUGGGCAUGCCUAUUCGAGCGUCAUUACAACCUUUAAGCCUUGUAGCUUAGCGUUGGGAAUCUACCCCUCACUGAGGGGUAGUUCCUUAAAUUUAGUGGCGGGGUUAUAGCAUACUCUAAGCGUAGUAGUUUCACUCGCUUUCAGGGAGGCUGUAGCUGCUUGCCGUAAAACCCCCUAUAACUUAUAGUGGUG